rnacentral:piRNA from 7 species
AGGAGUGGAGCCUGCGGCUUAAUUUGA